rnacentral:rRNA from 1 species
UAGGGAAUCUUCGGCAAUGGGGGCAACCCUGACCGAGCAACGCCGCGUGAGUGAAGAAGGUUUUCGGAUCGUAAAGCUCUGUUGUAAGUCAAGAACGAGUGUGAGAGUGGAAAGUUCACACUGUGACGGUAGCUUACCAGAAAGGGACGGCUAACUACGUGCCAGCAGCCGCGGUAAUACGUAGGUCCCGAGCGUUGUCCGGAUUUAUUGGGCGUAAAGCGAGCGCAGGCGGUUUGAUAAGUCUGAAGUUAAAGGCUGUGGCUCAACCAUAGUUCGCUUUGGAAACUGUCAAACUUGAGUGCAGAAGGGGAGAGUGGAAUUCCAUGUGUAGCGGUGAAAUGCGUAGAUAUAUGGAGGAACACCGGUGGCGAAAGCGGCUCUCUGGUCUGUAACUGACGCUGAGGCUCGAAAGCGUGGGGAGCGAACAGGAUUAGAUACCCUGGUAGUCCACGCCGUAAACGAUGAGUGCUAGGUGUUGGGUCCUUUCCGGGACUCAGUGCCGCAGCUAACGCAUUAGGCACUCCGCCUGGGGAGUACGACCGCAAGGUUG